rnacentral:lncRNA from 1 species
GCAGUUGUUUGGGCUGUCGCUGUGGCUGGUUCUGCGGUGUGCGGCCAGCCAUGGAGCGCUCUGGGCCCAGCGAAGUGACAGGCUCAGACGCAUCGGGACCGGACCCGCAGCUUGUGGUCACCAUGGGCUUCACGGGGUUCGGGGUUCGGUAAAAAAGCUCACACAUUUGACUUGGAAGCAAUGUUUGAACAAACUCAAAGAACAGCUGUGGAAAGAAGUCACAAAACACUGGUUCAACCCAAUGGAAAUGGAUUGAAAGAGUGAAAGUCACUGGUCUCAAAGAAUCUACGGAAUUUAGCAUUUUGAAAAUCACAGAGCAAUUUUGGGUAGGUAUUCACAUGCACUAAAAAACCAGGCAAACAUCUGACUCCCAGGAUAAAGUGACUGAGAGCAGUAGAAGACUUGUUGAGCCUUAAGGAAUAAGAGGAAAAUUAUGUUAUGAAGUGCAGGAACAGCACAGACCCAGACGAGGGGAUGCAGCCCGGAGCCAGUAACCCGGCGCCUCCUCCUCCCCAGGGCGCAGCGCUGGCUGCUCCCCGGAUACCGUGAUCACACGUCCCAGGUCCUGAGAGCGCCUCAUAGGUAGACAGUUCUUUGGGACUUUUGGGACGCAGCACUUGAAGAGAGGUUUACCUAAACUUUCCUCCUGGGAGCCUGUCAUCAUUUGAAAGUAACAGAAGAAAGCUGUCAGGCUGAGGAAAGUUUCAACAGGCACUUGGUGAGAAUGGGAAGCAUCCAUUCAUUGGGAAAUCACGGGGACAGAGGAGGAAUUCACGGGAUCAGAGCACUGAGAAACUCCAGAGGCUUCUGGUUCACCGCCCUGAUUCCACAGAUGUGGGUCAGAGGCAGAGAUGGAAGUUGGAAUGGACAAGCCUGCCCUCUCCUCAGCUCUCCAUGGCUCUGUCCUCAGGCUGUUUCUGCAAUUUGACAUGAGGCCUGGCCCCAGGGAAACCAGUGGGGCCUCAUCUCCUCCCUGUGCUGCUCUGAGGUGGAGCCUUCUCAGGGUCAGUCCAGCUCUGGAGCCCCUCUCCAGCUCGGUCACCAAAGCUGUCUGGUCCCAGGGCAGUGUGGAGUGACAGGCACGCCAGCCAAUCCAAUCGGCCAUUUCAUACCCAAUGCAUGUGACUGAUAAAGAGAUAACACCCUGUCUCCAAGACACAGGCUUUACAUAAACAGCUUUAAUGACUUCUUCACUUAGGGACAAGACUCCUUAGUGGUGGAACCUCAGGCAUCCAUGCAGGAUGUAAGAAAGCUCCCGUAUAUACAUGAACUGAGAAGUGUGUAGAAGAGUAAAUACUGUAAUAGGUAAUAAAAUGUAUGUAUUUUUAUUUAUGUGCUACUUUGUCUUUCUCCCUCUCUGUGUAUAUACACAUACAUACAAAAAUGUAUUCAUUCUAUGGAAAACAUGAAAGAUGUAAUAUUCUUUACAUAUUUAAUUAAUGUAUUUUUUCUGAUCAUAUGAACACCACAAAUAUAAUUUUAUAAUUUUUUUACCUAACAAUAAGUCUUAAACAUAAAUAUACAUGGACAAUAUCAUAGUUUUUUUUUUAAUCAUAAUUAAAAUGGUUGUGAAACAUUCCACUUUAAUUCAUUCCUCCUAAUCCCUAGGGUGGUACAUUAAGUGAGGGUUUCUCAGCCUCGGUACCAUGGGCAGUUUGGGUUAGCCCAUCCUUUUCAGAGACACUGCCCUGGACACUGCAGGAUGUGGCUUCACAUUCUGGUCUCUGCCCACUGGAUGCCAGAAACAUCCCUUCCCCUUAGCUGUGGUAAUCAACACUGUCACUAGACAUUGCCAAAUGUCCCCUGGAGGACAAAAUCACCCUAGGUUGAGAACCAGUGGCAUUUUUUUUAAACUAUCAUUGUAAGACAAAGCCACCUGAACUUCCUUGCUGAUGUCUCUUCACUUCUUUUUUUUUUUUUUUUUUGAGACAGAGUCUUGCUCUGUUGCCCAGGCUGGAGUGCAGUGGCAUGAUCUCGGCUCACUGCAAGCUCCGCCUCCCAGGUUCACACCAUUCUCCUGCCUCAGCCUCCUGAGUAGCUGGGAUUACAGGCGCCCGCCACCACACCUGGCUAAUUUUUUUGUGUUUUUAGUAGAGACGGGGUUUCACCAUGUUAGCCAGGAUAGGCUCGAUCUCCUGACCUCAUGAUCCGCCCACCUUGGCCUCCCAAAGUGCUGGGAUUACAGGCAUGAGCCACCACGCCUGGCCUCAACUUCUAUCUAAUUCUAUUCAGAGGGAAAAUUUCUAGAAGCGACAUUCCUGUUGCAGAGAAGAGAUAUUCACUUGAGAACCUUGAUAUAUAUUUGCCAAAUUUCUGUCCAAGUAUCAUUUUUAAAAAGUUAAAAACAUGACUUUCAUAGAAACACAUACGGAGCAUAUGUCAAAGAUGUAUUUCUCUAAUGCAAUGAGACAGCCAGCAAGACAGUGAGGCUGCAGCAGCAUGGGGACAGAGUGCAGAAAGAGGUCGCAGAAGCCUUGGAAGAACGUCAUUCAGUCAUACAAGGACACCCUGAUGCUUGCGCUGCGGUCCUUUCCAAGUCCACGGGGCGUUGUUCCUUUGUGUCAACACCAGAUAAGACUCAUGGGGAUUGCUGUCAGUGUUGUGUAUGUUAUAAUACCAGGGACCCUCACAUGGCUGUGUUAGAUUCUAACCAAUAGAAAAUAAUAAGUCAAAGCAAAGACCGUUACUGAUUCCUUCCAUUGUUUCUUUAGAGACUUUGGUUUAGUGCUCUAAACUUUCUGAUUAUCAGAUCUUAUGUGUUUGCUAAUAUAUAAAAUAACAAAUUAGGCAUAAUGCCCUAUAAUUUUCUGCUUGAUUAAUUGCCUGAAAUUUGAUCUAUCAGUCAGUGUUUGAUUAGAAUAGAGAAAUCACAUGUAAUUUGAACAAGGAAAGAUUAAUACGAAGAAUUGCUAGCUAUAACAGGGUUUGGAGCAAUGAGGAUUGGCUAGUAAAAAGUAAAGAGAACUCUAAGGAAUAUAAGAAUAACAGAUAAAAGGAGCGUCAACCCCUGGGGUUGAGAUACAACAUCCAGGGCCUCUGGGAUUCAGAUCCAGACCCUGUUUGAGGGGGCAUGGCUGUGGCUCACUGAAUGAAGAGAAGUUGCUGUGGUAGAAAUCUGUCUCAUCAGAAUCACUCUGCUGUAAUACUGCCUUGUGGAGGUACUGGUGGAAGAUACUCGGUGCUGCUGACUGCUAUGCACUUCAGGAGCCUGACAAUGGAGCAAACUGCACGGGUUCUGGAUCUGGACACUGGAGAAGCUGUGUUGCAGUACAGAAGCCUGCCAAGAGGAGCACACAAGACUCUUGGAAAGAAGAGGAAAAUCUCCUCUUACAAUGUCGAUCUAAGAUCAUGCCAACUAGCAAAGGAAAAAUGUUUAAAGGGUCCAAGUUCAUUUCUGCAGAGCAGACAUGAAAGGUUGAAUUCAGAGCUGAGAGACAAUAAGUGGACAACUGGCACAUUUGGUCAAACUUGUAAUUUUAUAUCUUAGAUGGACAAAUUAAACACAAGUCCAUAGGUGUUUUCCUUACAAGCUUACAUUUAAAUUUGGGAUCCUGGUCAGAAUUUUGCUAAGGACUUCAUUCUUUCCCAGUGUUUCAGGAAGGAUACCCUGGGGCCAGAGCCACUUUUCUUUAUUGUAAGGUCCUGGGCUGUGGCCCCUUUUGCUUUUCUGGGCUCCUUUCUCAUGGGCAUCUGUUUUGGGAGCUUCAUUUCCUCAUCUGCUUUGACACUUUAAUCUUGGACAUUGUAGUGAAAUGCUUCACAUUGUCACACAUUCUAAUCUCAGAGACCACUCCAAAUCUUUUUGAAUUUUCUUGGCCAUUGGAAUUAGUACUCUGGAAUCAGUACAUUAAGAAUGGUUUUUUAAAAACUAUCAGCUAGAAUUUCCACAUUUUAGAAGAAAUGGUCAGUAUAAAUUUGGAGAAGCAGUUUCUAGCUAGUAGUAGCUGUGCAGAAAAACAGUUUUAUUGAUAAGUAUCUGAUUUGGAUUUAGGAUCCAGCUAGGAUGAAAAAUUCAAUUGAGGUCUGGCCAGAUAGACAUAAAUUUUAUUUUUCCUUUAUAUUCUGUGUCCAAAAGACAAAUUGUCAUGAGUUAUUAUUUUUUUCCUGAAGUAUCCGUUUGUUUCUCAGCUUUGGAAUUAGAGGUGUAGAAAAUAAACGGGACUCAACAGCCUAAGAUUUUGUUUAAAAAGAUGUUCUUAUUUAUUUAUAUUUAAAAAUUUCUAAACUUUUUUUUUGCAAGAAACUGUAUGUCAGCAUUUUCAUUUUUGAUAGAUAAAUUUUAUAUUUGGGAUUUUGAUUAUUAAGUUGUUUCUCCACCAGAAUUCCUUAUGGAUUUUUGUAAUAAUCUGUAUUUAGUGUGUUUAAUUAUUUGCUUUCCAUUUAUAUUUAUUUUGGGAUUUCUUUUUUAAGAGAAUGGCACCUGUGACAGCAUACUGUUAAUAUUACCCUUGUAUCGUACUUUACCAUGCCAUCUCUGAAGAAUAUUACAGACCAUUUUGGAGCAUGGUGAAUAACAAAUUUUUACCUUAGGAGUUCACUUGAAUAGUCAUUUUUAUAUUUGUGACUGCAAGUCACUUUUAGGGGCUGUACUUCCUUAGUACUGGUAGCAUUAUUAUCCAAUGGACUUUUAAAGCUUUCAUUAGGUUUUCUUUUGUUUUUGUUCUUUAAAGAACAUUUUACUUAACUUAGUAUUUCAUUUUUCAUCUAUAUUAUGAGGCAGUAAGAGUCUUCUGUUUUUCCAAAGUUGAGACUGCUUUAUAUUUAUUUCAUAUUGUCUACAGCUGUAGUGUUCAAUACAUUAGCCACUAGCCACAUGUGGUUAUUUAAAUACGAUAAAAUAAAAACUGGCCGGUCGUGGUGGCUCACGCCUGUAAUCCCAGCACUUUGGGAGGCCGAGGCGGGCAGAUCAUGAGGUCAGGAGAUCGAGACCAUCCUUACUAAGAUGGUGAAACCCCAUCUCUAUUAAAAAUACAAAAAAUUAGCCGGGCGUGGUGGCGGGCGCCUGCAGUCCCAGCUACUCAGGAGGCUGAGGCAGGAGAAUGGCGUGAACCUGGGAGGCAGAGUUUGCAGUGAGCCGAGAUGGUGCCACUGCACUCCAGCCUGGGGGACAGAGCGAGACUCCAUCUCAAAAAAAAAAAAAAAAAAUUAUUAAGUUCUUUAGUUGCACUAGCCAUAUUUCAAAUACUUGAUGGAUACAUGUGGCUAGUGGCUAACAUAAUGGAUAGCACAGAUAUAAAACAUUUCCUCCUCAUAUAAAGUUCUAUUGGAUAGUGCUGGUCUGUAGCUUAUAGGAUGGUAUCUUAGUCUCCUUCAGCUGCUAAAACAGAAUACCAUAAAUUAGGUAGCUUAAACAGUAGGUAUUUUGACCAGGCGUGGUGGCUUAUGCCUGUAUUCCUAACACUUUGGGAGGCCGAGGCAGGUGGAUAACUUGAGCUCAGGAGUUUGAGACUAGCCUGGGCAGCAUUUCAAAACCUUGUCUCUACAAAAAUUAGCUGGGCAUGGUGGUGCACGCCUGUAGUCUGAGCUACUUGGGAGGCUGAGGUGGGAGAAUUGCUUGAACCUGGGAGGCGGAGGUUGCAGUGAGCCAUGAUCGCACCCCUGUACUCCAGCCUGGAUGACAGAAUGAGACUCUGUCUCAAAAAAAAAAAAAAAAACAAAAAACAAAAAAAAACAAGAGAUAUUUCUCACAGUUCUGGAGGCUGGAAGUGCAAGAUCAAAGUGUUGGCAAAUUACGUUUCUUAAAGAGGGUCUGCUUCCUAGAUUGGAAAUGGCCAUCUUCUCUCAGUAUCCUCACAUGGUAGGGAGAAAAGCAGCUCUAGUGUCUCUUCUUAUAAAGGAAGUAAUGCCACCAUAGGGGCUCUAUUCUCAUGACCUCAUCUAAACCUAAUUCUCUCCUAAAGGCCACGCCUCCCAAUAUCCUCACCUUGGGGGUUAGG